rnacentral:rRNA from 1 species
UACGGAGGGGGCUAGCGUUGUUCGGAAUUACUGGGCGUAAAGCGCACGUAGGCGGCUUGGUAAGUUAGAGGUGAAAGCCCGGAGCUCAACUCCGGAAUUGCCUUUAAGACUGCCGAGCUAGCAGGUGAGAGAGGUGAGUGGAAUUCCGAGUGUAGAGGUGAAAUUCGUAGAUAUUCGGAAGAACACCAGUGGCGAAGGCGGCUCACUGGACCAUAACUGACGCUGAUGCACGAAAGCUAGGGGAGCAGACAGG